AAAUAACAUCUACUCGUACCAAAGGGAACGCCCGGUGAAAAUCCUUCCCUCGCCCCAUCACUCUCCCGCCCCAUCCCGCGCCCUUCUCCCGCGAGCUUCGCGCGAAAUCGACAUGGAUGACCACCGGUGCAGCAUGCCCAACCGGCGGAUCCGAGCACCUACUCCUCCUCCUCCUCCACCUCAUCCGCCCCCUCCCUGUGUCCUUCGAGCUCCACCCCCCGUUCCAUCGACACAAGUCACACAAGGGUUGGAAGAUCUGAAAUUUGGAGGAAGUGAGGAGAUCUUGCAAGAAUUAGAGCUAGCUGGAAUCACAAAAUGAAGUCAUAUCUUAUUUGGCUCUUGAAAGAACAUGAUGUCCCAAGAUAUCGAACACAAAAUGCAUGGAGCAAAGAGGCUUGGAGAAGUAUUGUGAAUGCAUUCAAUAUAAAGUUUGGUUUAUCACUCACAGUAACACAGAUAAAACAAAAGGAGCAGGAUCUGAAGAAAGAUUUUAAAGCUAUACAAGACUUGAUAUCUGAAAGUGGUUUCGGUUGGGAUCGUGAUAGAAUGAUGGUGGUUGCUCCGGACAGUGUUUGGGAGGCAUUAAAGGCCCGUAAGAAAAAAGAUGCCCUCCGUUGGCAAGACAAGUCAUUCCCAUACUAUAAUGAUCUAUUUGCUCUAUAUGAUGGGCGCUAUGCUCAAGGAAGGAGUUGUCGUGGCAUGGAUUAUUAUGCAAACAAGGCCAGAGAACUCUCUCAGGUCACUACAUCAUAUUCGCAACAGUUGGAAGGUCCCGAGGAGCAUCAUCGCUCACCUACACCGAACUUACCUGCUCCUGUGGAAUCGUGCAUGCAUAUUGAUACUGAAGAGGACAAUGGAAGCACUAAUUGGUUCUGCACCGAUGAUCCAUUACACCUAGAAGCUGUGAACUCAACUCAAGUGAAAGAUUCUGCAUUACAUGUUCAAUCAGAAGAUGCAAUACCAACACCAUUUUCUUCAAAGCAAACCCCACAUAUGUCGAUGGAACUUCCAGAAGACAUACGUAGAAAUUGUCAACCAUCUCAUUCUGCUCGUGAGCUUACUAGUGCUAAGAGGGGGGAAGACAGAAGACUAAUUCUAGUAUUGAUGAUUUCCACGAGAGGUACCUGAGCCUCAAAAGAGAAGAGAUGGAACGGUUUGCAGCCAUCGAGGAGAGGAAAUUGGAGGAUCCCUAUAGCAUACAAAAAUGCAUUGCUGCACUUGAGGGGUUGCCGGAUUUACAAAUGGGAGAUAUACUAAAAGCAGCUGACCUCUUCACCAACAACAAGGACAACAGGGAAAUCUUCCUCUCAUUUUCAACUGAUGCAUUACGACUGGGCUGGUUAAGAAAUAAAAUUCAAAACACCUAGUGUACUAGCUAUGGGAAUAUGCCCCUUGGAGAAUGCUUUUGUGUUAAUUACAAAAGUGGCUUUUGUAUGUUGCUGUAGGCACUUGUACUGCUGAGUUAAUGGUACCAAAUUAUCAUGUAGUGCUAAGGUAAUAGGCUAGGAAAGUGCACAUGACUUUUGUGUAUGUGUUCCUGGUCAGAUGUGCUAGUACUAAUGCAAUGCUAAAUGACACUUGAUCACAAAUCCUUUUGAUUGGCUAGAAUUACUUGCAGUACAAACCAAAUUGUUUUACAUUUAUUACAUAUGGUUUAUCGCCUUGCAUUGUAGUCAGCCCACAUUGCAUUUGCCAUGGCAUCUCGCAUGUCAUUCCCAGCUUGCCUCAUGCUGUCAAAUAAUGGCACAUCAACAUUGUAUUUGGUAUCCCCAUCUGGUACAUCUUCCAUAUUGCUUUCAUUUAUAUCUUCGGUGCAUCUGUCCGGCAAUGACAUGUCACCAUCAUGUAGCGGUAUGAAAUUGUGCAUCACACAACAAGCCAUUAGAAAUAUCAACCUGAGUGUCAAUAUCAUAAGACGUAGCAGCCUUUAGUAUGGGAUACCUCUUUUUUAAUAUACCGAUAAUUCUCUCAACAUGAUUCCGAAGCUGAGCAUGGCGGAGGUUGAACAAUUCUUUGGCGGAUUGUGGCCUCUACUGUACUCUUCCCUGUUCUUGCAAAUGAUACCUUGUUCCCCUAUAUGGAGCAAUGAAUUGAGGUGUGUUUGCAUAACCCGCAUCUACAAGAUAGAAUUUACCAGGGGGUACACUAAAACCAUGCUUAAGUGAGUCUUGUGGAACUCUUGCAUCUGAAGCAGACCCCUCCCAACCAGAUGUACAUGCACGAACUUUAGAUCAAAGUCACAUGCGACCAUGCAAUUUUGUGAAAGGCCUUGUUUUCUGUUUCUAUAGGGAUCUUGUUGCCCAGGUGGAAUGGUCAUGGGAAAGUGAGUGCCGUCAAUAGCUCCAAGACAAUUCUGUAAAUUUCAUGCUACAAUUAGAGAUAUGCAAACAUCAAAUUUGCCUAGUAUGAAUUUACCAUGUCAAAAUAGAACAUAAGUAUUACCUGAAAGUAUGCAAAUUUUCGCUGCCUUAAGAUGCGAUGUGGGUGUAGGGACGGCAAUCGUAUGUAGUUGCAUGAUAGUGAUGUAAUUUCAUUGAGCACAACUCGAAAAUAAUAACUAACCGUUGAUCCACUGUGUUGGAAUAUAUCUUGCACUGUACGAUUGCUUGCAUUUUUUGAUAUUGUGUAUAGAAAUAUAGCUACUUGCUCUUCCACGGAUACAUAUGUUCCAUCUUCAAGUUUGCACUUCUCACACAAUUUUUGAACUAAUGUUUGAAAGAUCUCUCUCUCCAUGUGGAAUCGUCUCUGGCACAAGACCUCAUGGCCGGUAAGUGUUUCAUGCAUGUAUGUGGAUCCUGUGAGGAUGGAUGUAUGUAUUGGCAUUUUUGUGGAUGAGCUGCUGCCUUCUAAUGUAGGAUGUAUGAGAAAAACGAAUUCAUCUUCAUUUUCUGAUCGCCUACGGUAGUUUGGAUUCAUCGCUUGAAUGAGAAAUGUGAUGCUGAAAUGAACUCAGCAGUGAGGAAUGGCUGUGGGAAUGGUUGGCUGUGUGAUGUGUGUUGUUCUUAAGCUUGUGCAUCUGUACGCAUAUAUAGAGCAAAUGUAGUGCAAUGGCUAGUAUGUGUAACAGUCAAAACUCAAGGCAACGGCUAGAAAGCUUCCUGUGAUGCGAACACACCUCA